AGAAAGGGAGCUAUGGCCAUACAGUAGCCCUAGAAUUCUGGAGAUGAGUUGUAUGGGUUCUUGGACUACAAUAACACUUCUGUUAUGUCCAAACUCUGGACAGGACAAAUGCUCAUGAGGCAACUCCUUCACUAAGCUGCUAACUAAAGCCAGAGAAACAGCAUGAAUAACAUGUCCUGGUGUUAAAUUCAGAUGUAUCCCUUAAAAACAUCCUUGAAUCUGCAGAACUGUCAUUCUACAUUUUCACCAGUUUUGCCAAAACUGACCCUCGACUGGCAUUAUGCCUGUAACUGCACGGAUAGAGUGUACCAGCAAAACUUCAUUAUUUUCUUAUACCCAUCACUCGUAUAACUCUGGAGAGUACGGCAUUCAGUCUACAAAAGGAAACAAAUCCUGCCUUGACCACUGUAUAGAUGAACCACAAGGAAAUUAUGCUAAAUAAAAUAAGCCAGUCACAAAAAGACAAGAAUCCACUUAUAGGAGGAAGCUGGUCAAACUUCAUAGAAACAAAAAG
rnacentral:lncRNA from 1 species